GUGGGGAAUUUUGGACAAUGGGCGCAAGCCUGAUCCAGCAAUGCCGCGUGCAGGAAGAAGGCCUUCGGGUUGUAAACUGCUUUUGUACGGAACGAAAAGGCUCUGGUUAAUACCUGGGGCUCAUGACGGUACCGUAAGAAUAAGCACCGGCUAACUACGUGCCAGCAGCCGCGGUAAUACGUAGGGUGCAAGCGUUAAUCGGAAUUACUGGGCGUAAAGCGUGCGCAGGCGGUUUUGUAAGACAGAGGUGAAAUCCCCGGGCUCAACCUGGGAAUUGCCUUUGUGACUGCAAGGCUGGAGUGCGGCAGAGGGGGAUGGAAUUCCGCGUGUAGCAGUGAAAUGCGUAGAUAUGCGGAGGAACACCGAUGGCGAAGGCAAUCCCCUGGGCCUGCACUGACGCUCAUGCACGAAAGCGUGGGGAGCAAACAGGAUUAGAAACCCCAGUAGUCC
rnacentral:rRNA from 1 species